rnacentral:rRNA from 1 species
GACGAACGCUGGCGGCGUGCCUAACACAUGCAAGUCGAGCGAGUGGCGGACGGGUGAGUAAUGUCUGGGAAACUGCCCGAUGGAGGGGGCUAACUACUGGAAACGGUAGCUAAUACCGCAUACCAUCGGAUGUGCCCAGAUGGGAUUAGCUAGUAGGUGGGGUAACGGCUCACCUAGGCGACGAUCCCUAGCUGGUCUGAGAGGAUGACCAGCCAAACUGGUACGGAGACACGGUCCAGACUCCUACGGGAGGCAGCAGUGGGGAAUAUUGCACAAUGGGCGAAAGCCUGAUGCAGCCAUGCCGCGUGUAUGAAGAAGGCCUUCGGGUUGUAAAGUACUUUCAGCGAGGAGGCGUUACUCGCAGAAGAAGCACCGGCUAACUCCGUGCCAGCAGCCGCGGUAAUAC